GGCGGGCGCUGGAGGAGCCCGCGAGGCAGCGCCGGGCUUCAGCGGCUGCAGCCUGCCCUGCGGGGCAAGUGCCGGCUGCAGCAGCCCCGCACCGGCGGUGGUUGGAGCUGAACCCGGAGAUGCGACCCGAGCUCCUCGCCCUCUGCAACCCGUGGGUCGCCCGCGUCUCCUCACCGGCCGCCCGGCCGCGGUAUUGACGUUCGUCUUGGAGCCAAUUGAGGCUGCAGCCGCCGGAUGGACGCUUGGAGGGCUCCCGGGUAUGGACAAACUGAGAAUCAGAGAGGGCUAGUGAUCUCUCGGACACUUGGUCAGUAGGAAGCCAUGGGAAAAAGAAAAAGUGGACACAUUCUCUGGCUGACUUUGGAUACAACCACUUAAUAACAGUAACACAGCACUCUUGUUAAAUAAUACAGAUAGAAUAAAACUAACAUGCUUAAUUAGUUAUAGCUUUAUUGCAGCAUUAGGAGAUAAGAGUAUCACAGCAUGGUUAUUAACUAAGAAUUUUGUAAUAGUGUUUUUAGCUACUACUUUGAACAGCGUGUUCAUGUACAGGUGAUUCUCAUUUUUUACAGUAGUUAUGUUAUAUAAAUGUAGGUGGGAAUCCUGAAUUAGUGAAUAUGGAACCUUGGCUCCUAAGGGAAAUACAGGGUUAGAUUCCUGUAAGCCUCUGAUCAAAACAUUUUUGUCAGCUCAUUAAUACAUCAUCUGGUUUCAUGUAUGUUCUAUUUAAAGAUACCUUAUCUAAUAUAUGUUUUUGAUUCCUCGACAGUGAACUCUCAGCCAGCAGUCCUAUAACUCAUGCCUGAAUGAAGCUUAUCUAGCACAUACAUUUUGUAUAUAACACAUGUUACAGCCUUCUUGCACUUAGGAACUCUAGCUAGCACUUCAGCACUAUGCUUGGUGGACAUUUCAAACAUUGAAAUCACCACCAAAAAGCACAGUACAAAAAUGUGAAAAGUGUAGCACUAAAUAGGUUGCAAAAAGGAAACUUGUUUACAUUAUGAGAGUUGGGACAAGAAGGCAGAGUGUUGUUUUGUUCAACCUCAGCUGGGAACUUUGUACCUGAUGAGUCAAAUUUUUCACCUCUUUAUGCAUGGUCACAAAUGACCAUGAGAGUGUUGACUUUGGGGUUACAAAUACAUUUCUGGGAAUAACCAAAUUCACAAAUACAUUUUUGUGAAUAGGUAGUCCAUGAAUAAUAAGGACUGACUCUACCUUAUUUCGUUUACAUUUCACUCAUGCCCCAAACUCUCAUGUUUUGAUAUAGGAAAGUAAGAUUUAAAGAGAUGAAGUGACUUGUCCAGUGUCAAAUAGCUGAAAUGUGGUUCAUUAUAUUAUACUUGGGUCAGUUAACUAUAGCCCACAGGCCUGUUGCCUGUUUUGUAAAUAAAGUUUUAUUGAAACACAGUCUAUUUGUAUACAUGUUGUCUAUGUAGCUGCUUUUGAGCUACAAUGGCAGACCUGAGUAGUUGCAACAGAGAUCAUAUAGCCCACAAAGCUUAAAUUAUUUACAGCCCAGCCCUUUAGGGAAAGGUUUAUUGACUCCUGUAGUACUCCAGAUUUUCUCUUUGAGUUCACAGUUGAGAAAGUUCUCUCUGGUCUCAAUACCAGAAUUGUUUGUGCUUUUCCCGGGCAAUUUGUCUUUCCCUCUUGAACACUGGGAAUUUUAUACCUGAUUAUGUUUCCUUCUUUAAAUUGCUGUUAAGAAGUUUAAAGCCUAGUAAAACUGGAGAUUCCUAGCACUUACGUGAUAGGAACAGAAAGGAUCUUCCAUUUUGGUUACACUAGAAGGGUGUUAGAUUGUUUUGGCACAGUCAAAAACUCAAACAAUUUAUAGGUGAUACAGGUGUCUGGAACAUUUUGGUAAUGAAGUGGUACAUCUGGGGCAGGACCUGGGCUCUGUCAGAGUCAUAGUUUUCCCUAAGGAGACAAAUACCUACUUUCUGUGAAUAAUCUUUUUGUUUUCAACCAACUACAGUUUAUCAAGAAUUUAUUAUGUGCCAGAUACUGGCCUUAAGUGCUAGUCAUACCUUAUAUAAUUUAUUCUCUAAGGAAUAUUUUGUAUUAUGUUAAGAGAGUCUAUACCAUGGAGGUAAAGAUGAUUAUCCUCUUUUACAGAUGAGGAAAUGAAGGACCAGAGAUGUUUUAAUUUGUCCUAGGUCACAAAGCAAGGAAGUGGCAGAUUUCAAAUUUAAAGCCCGGUGUAUCUGACUCUAAACCUUAGUCCCUACUAUAUACUCCAUUAUUCUAUAUAGUUUACCUAGCAUCAACCUUUAUCUUUCCAAAUCUCAAAAUUAGAACUAUGGACUGAGCAGUGAGGCAUUUCUGUCAUUUGUCUCGUAUUAGGACAUUCAUCUUUGGAUUUGAACAGGGUAAAUGGCCUCCACAGAACAGUGGGGCAGGGGAGGUGCAGGGACUAUGUCAAGAGUAGACACAUGGAGAUUGGCAAGAAAGCUUUGCAGUAGUCCAGGUACGUGAUGAUGAUGGGCUGGACUCUGGUGCUGGUAGUGAGUUUGGAGAGGCAUGUGUAGGUUGUAGAGAUGAUUAGAAUUAGAACUGACAAGAUUCAGUUCUUGAUUGCAUGUGGAUGGUAAGAAAGGGAGAGGAAGGUGACAGACAGGUCUCACUUUGUGGCUGGAGUAACUAGGUAGAUGGUGGGGCCAGUCAUGAGACCAGAGAGGAAGCAGUUGUGGAGAGAAGAUGAGGAGCUUUGUUUUGGGUGGGUUAAGGAUGAAACUCCUAUAAGAUAUCCAAAAUGCUCACUUGUGAGUGUGGUAGCCUUUAUCCAAACCUGGUUUGUAUCUCAUAAUUUAUGUACAUCCCUGUCUCUCCCAUAAAACUCUGUGGUACUGAAGGGCAGAGAUCCUUCUGUUUAAUGAUCCUUUGUUUAAUGCAUGCAAUGGCUUCAAUUUGUUUUUUAUGGUUACUCUUCUAGACAAUUCUAAAAGUCUUAUCAGUCUCCUUGGUCACUACUGGUGUGCCUCUAAGAAAGCAAAAGCCAUGCUUUGGUCAAUUCAGAGCUGCCUCUGUCUCUAUCAAAACCAAUAAAUACCUGCUGUUAC
rnacentral:lncRNA from 1 species